GCCAGGCAUGGUGGCGCAUGCCCGUAGUCCUAGCUACUUGGGAGGCUGAGGUGGGAGGAUGGUUUGAGCCCAGGAGGUGGAGGUUGCAGUGAACAGAGAUGGCGCCACUGCACUCCAGCCUGGGCGACAGAGCCAGACCUUGUCUCAC
rfam:Homo sapiens chromosome 17, GRCh38 reference primary assembly.